AUUGAACGCUGGCGGCAUGCUUUACACAUGCAAGUCGAACGGCAGCGCGGGCUUCGGCCUGGCGGCGAGUGGCGAACGGGUGAGUAAUACAUCGGAACGUGCCCAGUAGUGGGGGAGAGCUCGGCGAAAGCCGGAGUAAUACCGCAUACGACCUGAGGGUGAAAGCGGGGGAUCUUCGGACCUCGCGCUAUUGGAGCGGCCGAUGGCAGAUUAGCUAGUUGGUGGGGUAAAGGCCUACCAAGGCGACGAUCUGUAGCUGGUCUGAGAGGACGACCAGCCACACUGGGACUGAGACACGGCCCAGACUCCUACGGGAGGCAGCAGUGGGGAAUUUUGGACAAUGGGCGAAAGCCUGAUCCAGCAAUGCCGCGUGUGUGAUGAAGGCCUUCGGGUUGUAAAGCACUUUUGGCGGGAACGAAAAGGACUGUGCCAAUACCACGGUUCGAUGACGGUACCCGCAGAAUAAGCACCGGCUAACUACGUG
rnacentral:rRNA from 1 species